AACGACUCUCGACAACGGAUAUCUCGGCUCUCGCAUCGAUGAAGAACGUAGCGAAAUGCGAUACUUGGUGUGAAUUGCAGAAUCCCGUGAACCAUCGAGUCUUUGAACGCAAGUUGCGCCCGAAGCCAACAGGCCGAGGGCACGUCUGCCUGGGUGUCACGCA
rnacentral:rRNA from 2 species